GACGUAGGGCGCGAGCGUUGUCCGGAUUUAUUGGGCGUAAAGAGCUCGUAGGCGGCUCAUUGCGUCAACCGUGAAAACCAGCAGCUCAACUGUUGGCUUGCGGUUGAUACGGGUGGGCUGGAGUUCGGUAGGGGAGACCGGAAUUCCUGGUGUAGCGGUGAAAUGCGCAGAUAUCAGGAGGGAACACCGGUGGCGAAGGCGGGUCUCUGGGCCGAUACUGACGCUGAGGAGCGAAAGCGUGGGGGAGCGAACAGG
rnacentral:rRNA from 1 species